GUACAUGUGGUGUAGUGGUUUGAGUGUUGGACUAGGGCUCUAGCGACCAGGGUUCAAAUCCCAGCUUGGCCA
rnacentral:tRNA from 1 species